UACGUAGGGGGCAAGCGUUGUCCGGAUUUAUUGGGCGUAAAGAGCGUGUAGGCGGCUUGAUAGGUCCGCUGUGAAAACUCGAGGCUCAACCUCGAGCUGUCGGCGGAAACCAUCUGGCUAGAGUCCGGAAGAGGAGAGUGGAAUUCCCGGUGUAGCGGUGAAAUGCGCAGAUAUCAGGAAGAACACCCGUGGCGAAGGCGGUUCUCUAGUACGGUACUGACGCUGAGACGCGAAAGCGUGGGGAGCGAACAGG
rnacentral:rRNA from 1 species